GCAAAUUUUGGUUUACAUGGGUUACUUGUACAAGUACUUGAAGGAAACAAACAGGGCUGAGUAUGUGUCGUUUGUGGAUCCCAACAAAAUACCAGCCGCUCAAGAUGGCAGUACCUCUUCACAACACAUUGCUAAUCAGUUGAAAGCAUCAAACGGAGACAGCAUAUGCCUUAUCCCAUACAACACUGGUGGAGUGAGGACGUACCUUUGUAUGAGGGGUAAUCCAAAACGACCAACUUUCAAA